UCUGUUAUAACACAUUAUAGAGGUUCAUAACGUGCUUAUAGCAGGUUAUAGAGGGCAUGGUGUCUCUGGGUAAGAUAUUAAUGUUUUACUCUUUUCUCUCUCAAUUCAAUUUGUUUUAUUGGAGAUUUACAAUAUUAACAAUUACAAUAUUGAUUAUUAUUAUUUUAAACGGGACAAUAGGAACAAAGAUAACUCAGGAUUAAAAUAACCAACUCGUUGAACGAUAACAAUAAGCAUACAGUAGAGGACAUGUGCAGGUUGAUUGGUCUGUCAGACACUGUCUCUCAUCUUAUGGCAGGCAGCAAUGUAGUGCGCUGCCAACCCACAGCUCUCUGCGACCUCCCCCAACAGGACGGGUAGCCUAUCCACAUCAGAGAGGUCUUCAAUGUAGUGCGCUGCCAACCCACAGCUCUCUGUGUCCUCCCCCAACAGGACUGGUAGCCCUAUCCUCAUCAGAGAGGUCUUUGAUGUAGCGCGCUGCCAACCCACAGCUCUCUGCGUCCUCCCCCAACAGGACGGGUAGCCCUAUCCUCAUCAGAGAGGUCUUUGAUGUAGUGCGCUGCCAACCCACAGCUCUCUGCGUCCUCCCCCAACAGGACUGGUAGCCCUAUCCUCAUCAGAGAGCUCUUUGAUGUAGUGGUCUGCCAACCCACAGCUCUCUGCCAACCCACAGCUCUCUGCCAACCCACAGCUCUCUGCGUCCUCCCCCAACAGGACGGGUAGCCCUAUCCUCAUCAGAGAGGUCUUUGAUGUAGUGCGCUGCCAACCCACAGCUCUCUGCGUCCUCCCCCAACAGGACUGGUAGCCCUAUCCUCAUCAGAGAGGUCUUUGAUGUAGUGGUCUGCCAACCCACAGCUCUCUGCGUCCUCCCCCAACAGGACUGGUAGCCCUAUCCUCAUCAGAGAGGUCUUUGAUGUAGUGGUCUGCCAACCCACAGCUCUCUGCGUCCUCCCCCAACAGGACUGGUAGCCCUAUCCUCAUCAGAGAGGUCUUUGAUGUAGUGCGCUGCCAACCCACAGCUCUCUGCGUCCUCCCCCAACAGAACGGGUAGCCCUAUCCUCAUCAGAGAGGUCUUUGAUGUAGUGGUCUGCCAACCCACAGCUCUCUGCGUCCUCCCCCAACAGGACGGGUAGCCCUAUCCUCAUCAGAGAGGUCUUUGAUGUAGUGGUCUGCCAACCCACAGCUCUCUGCGUCCUCCCCCAACAGGACUGGUAGCCCUAUCCUCAUCAGAGAGGUCUUUGAUGUAGUGCGCUGCCAACCCACAGCUCUCUGCGUCCUCCCCAACAGGACUGGUAGCCCUAUCCUCAUCAGAGAGGUCUUUGAUGUAGUGGUCUGCCAACCCACAGCUCUCUGCGUCCUCCCCCAACAGGACUGGUAGCCCUAUCCUCAUCAGAGAGGUCUUUGAUGUAGUGGUCUGCCAACCCACAGCUCUCUGCGUCCUCCCCCAACAGGACGGGUAGCCCUAUCCUCAUCAGAGAGGUCUUUGAUGUAGUGGUCUGCCAACCCACAGCUCUCUGCCAACCCACAGCUCUCUGCGUCCUCCCCCAACAGGACGGGUAGCCCUAUCCUCAUCAGAGAGGUCUUUGAAACGUGGAAUAAGGGUUUCAGAUCUGGGGAAAUGACACUCUG